rnacentral:lncRNA from 1 species
ACCAGAGACUGAAGAACUGCUCCCUGCCAGGGCUGAGGCUGAAAAAUAUUUUAAACCAAGUCCUGAUCUUGAACUUACCUUGCUGUGCUCACGUUGGAGCAGCUUGUGAGACAAACACCUUCUUUACCAGAUGAUUGCAGAGGAGUGUUCCUGCCACGCUGGAGUCCCACAUUUGCAGCAAUCCCCCUGUCUCACCCCGUGAGGUGCCUGCAGAGGAAGGAGGGGAUCACAGACACCCCGAGUGCAGCUCCCAGCCUCUGCAGCAAACUCUCGAGGCAGGAGGUCAUCCUCAGGGAUCUGAGCAGCCACUUCUGACCUGAACCUCGGGCCGGGCUGUGAAACCAGCUGAGACUUGUUCCUACAGCACCGCAGGCUUGGAAAUCAAAGCUGAGCUCCAGGGAGAGCACGGGCAGCGUUCAGAGUCGGGAGGAGCUGGGACGGAUGGGCUGGAUUUUCCCCGGCUGCCUCUCUGCAGAGAGGCCACUGCAGGUCUGAGAGAUCAAGAGCUUUCCCCAGAGCCGGGCUGUGGAGGCAUGGCAGCCCCGAGCAGUGCAAUUCUUUCCUCCUUCCCUUUUCUAUUUUCAUUUCAUCACCAUGUUCAGGACUGAGUGGUAACGAGCAAGUCCCCAAAUAACCUGGUUUCCAGCAGCAGCCUCGCUUUUCCACUGCGAGCAAAACCCGUUUCUGGCAUGGUUUGUCCUCUUGUGUGUCCUGCAUGACCCCAUAGGAGCUGUGGGCUCUUUGUAGGGGCCUGGGACAAGACCAAGAGCAAAGCAAACCCGUUUGAGUUCAUCCCAUGGGGUUCACAGCCCCACAAACCAAAAGGCUGAAAAAUCCCUGGCUUGGGAGUCGCGAGUGCGGUAAAAAGCCCUGGGAAUACACAGCCAGUGAUUUGUGUGAGGGAGGAUUUCGCUGAGCAACAAGGAUUCAGACAAACUUGCAGAAGUGGAAGUGCAGCUUAAUGGCAAAGCUGGGUUCAUUUGUCAAGCCCCUUCCUUACUUCUGUACUUAGGAGAGUGAAACAAUAAUUGGGAGCAAAGCUUA